CAUCUCAUUGGAGAUGAAUGUGUAACAUAAUCAGUGGUAUCAUCAUCAGCAAUCAGCCAAAAUCAAACAAGUUCUAUAUAACUUCAACCAACUUCAUUAAAAAAUUUGCAUCAAGACGUGCAGAAGAGGGCUAAAAGCCUAAAACCUAUAUUUCUCCUAGCCCAUUUUGAAAACGAAUUCAUCCGGCUGUGUUGUCUUAUCCUGCCUACUCAUUCAUAAUGUCCGACACGUUGAUGUUUGCAUUUUGCCUGUUCGACACUGGAGCAUUAUUAUUUCUGCUCGUAUACUACAUUAUCACUUUAUCUGACUUGGAGUGUGACUAUCUCAAUGCACAGCAGUGCUGCUCAAACCUAAAUAUUUGGAUUUUCCCAAGAAUCAUUGCCCAUCUUAUUACCAUCAUACUGCUGUCCUUCACUGGGCAUUGGUGGAUUGUUCUCACUUCACUUCCUGUAUCUCUCUGGCUAAUUUAUGAGUGUGUUUCUGUACCAAGAGGUAAUAUGGGUGUAUAUGAUCCUACAGAAAUUUAUAACAGAGGACAGCUAAAAAAACACAUGAGGGAUUGCAUGAUAGGUUUGGGAUAUUACCUUAUUAUGUUUUUUGUCUAUUUGUAUUGCAUGAUUCUUUCCAUGCUGGCUGGUGACCCAAGACACAAGGAAGACCCAUCAAUGAUAAAUGAUCUCAACCCAUGAGUUGCUUUGUUUCCUUUUUUCUGACAUAGCUAGUCAUUUGGUGGGCUUACUAAACAUUUUGUAAAAUGCUCAUAAUACUUCUUUUUUAAAACAAAUAGUUUGGGUGUAAACCUGAACUUCCAUGGCUGAUUGAAAUAAAUGUAACAAGAGCCACCCUGCAUUUGGAAAUCAUGAAGAGCUGGAAUAUGAGAAAUUCUUGUUUCCAGUACACUUCCACGGACCAUUUGAGUCAGGAUGUUAUGAAUUACUUCUUUAUUGUGAACUGUUUGCAUCUCCGUCUUCACAUGAAAUAAAAAAUAAUGAUUGUAUGCAA
rnacentral:misc_RNA from 1 species